GUUCUCGCCCCUAAUUGAGCGACAGAUUCCUAAUCUGUAGGCCACUGGUUCGAGUCCAGUCGGGAUCA
rnacentral:tRNA from 1 species